rnacentral:rRNA from 1 species
AGAGUUUGAUCCUGGCUCAGGAUAAACGCUGGCGGCGUGCCUAACACAUGCAAGUCGAACGCCUGCCAUCAGGCAGGGAGUGGCGGACGGGUGAGUAACACAUGGGAACCUACCCACCAGUGAGGGAUACCGGCGCGAAAGCGCCGACAAGCCCGCAUACGCUUCCUCCUGCGGGGGGAAGGAAAGCUCUUUCGGGGGCG